AGCAACUUGGCGCAGGGGAAGCGCGCCGGGCUCAUACUAGGGGAUAAACUCCUAUAUUCUGGUACCCGGAGGUCCUUGGAUCGAAACCAAGAGUUGCUA